rnacentral:rRNA from 1 species
AUUGAACGCUGGCGGAAUGCUUUACACAUGCAAGUCGAACGGCAGCACGGACUUCGGUCUGGUGGCGAGUGGCGAACGGGUGAGUAAUGUAUCGGAACGUGCCCAGUCGUGGGGGAUAACGUAGUGAAAAUUACGCUAAUACCGCAUACGAUCUAUGGAUGAAAGCGGGGGAUUGCAAGACCUCGCGCGACUGGAGCGGCCGAUAUCAGAUUAGGUAGUUGGUGGGGUAAAGGCCCACCAAGCCAACGAUCUGUAGCUGGUCUGAGAGGACGACCAGCCACACUGGAACUGAGACACGGUCCAGACUCCUACGGGAGGCAGCAGUGGGGAAUUUUGGACAAUGGGCGAAAGCCUGAUCCAGCCAUUCCGCGUGCGGGAUGAAGGCCCUCGGGUUGUAAACUGCUUUUGUACAGAACGAAAAGGUUUCUACUAAUACUAGGAGCUCAUGACGGUACUGUAAGAAUAAGCACCGGCUAACUACGUGCCAGCAGCCGCCGUAA